rnacentral:rRNA from 1 species
UACGGGGGGGGCAAGCGUUGUUCGGAAUUACUGGGCGUAAAGGGCUCGUAGGCGGCCAACUAAGUCAGACGUGAAAUCCCCAGGCUCAACCUGGGAACUGCGUCUGAUACUGGAUGGCUUGAAUUCGGGAGAGGGAUGCAGAAUUCCAGGUGUAGCGGUGAAAUGCGUAGAUAUCUGGAGGAAUACCGGUGGCGAAGGCGGCAUCCUGGACCGACAUUGACGCUGAUGCACGAAAGCGUGGGGAGCAAACAGG